UCAUUAACUGAAUCCAUAGGUUAAUGAGGCGAACCGGGGGAACUGAAACAUCUAAGUACCCCGAGGAAAAGAAAUCAACCGAGAUUCCCCCAGUAGCGGCGAGCGAACGGGGAGGAGCCCAGAGCCUGAAUCAGCAUGUGUGUUAGUGGAAGCGUCUGGAAAGGCGCGCGAUACAGGGUGACAGCCCCGUACACAAAAGCGCAUGUGCUGUGAGCUCGAUGAGUAGGGCGGGACACGUGGUAUCCUGUCUGAAUAUGGGGGGACCAUCCUCCAAGGCUAAAUACUCCUGACUGACCGAUAGUGAACCAGUACCGUGAGGGAAAGGCGAAAAGAACCCCGGCGAGGGGAGUGAAAAAGAACCUGAAACCGUGUACGUACAAGCAGUGGGAGCACCCUUUGGGUGUGACUGCGUACCUUUUGUAUAAUGGGUCAGCGACUUAUAUUCUGUAGCAAGGUUAACCGAAUAGGGGAGCCGGAGGGAAACCGAGUCUUAAUUGGGCGUUAAGUUGCAGGGUAUAGACCCGAAACCCGGUGAUCUAGCCAUGGGCAGGUUGAAGGUUGGGUAACACUAACUGGAGGACCGAACCGACUAAUGUUGAAAAAUUAGCGGAUGACCUGUGGCUGGGGGUGAAAGGCCAAUCAAACCGGGAGAUAGCUGGUUCUCCCCGAAAGCUAUUUAGGUAGCGCCUCGUGAAUUCAUCUCCGGGGGUAGAGCACUGUUUCGGCUAGGGGGCCAUCCCGGCUUACCAACCCGAUGCAAACUGCGAAUACCGGAGAAUGUUAUCACGGGAGACACACGGCGGGUGCUAACGUCCGUCGUGAAGAGGGAAACAACCCAGACCGCCAGCUAAGGUCCCAAAGUCAUGGUUAAGUGGGAAACGAUGUGGGAAGGCCCAGACAGCCAGGAUGUUGGCUUAGAAGCAGCCAUCAUUUAAAGAAAGCGUAAUAGCUCACUGGUCGAGUCGGCCUGCGCGGAAGAUGUAACGGGGCUAAACCAUGCACCGAAGCUGCGGCAGCGACACUGUGUGUUGUUGGGUAGGGGAGCGUUCUGUAAGCCUGCGAAGGUGGCCUGUGAGGGUUGCUGGAGGUAUCAGAAGUGCGAAUGCUGACAUAAGUAACGAUAAAGCGGGUGAAAAGCCCGCUCGCCGGAAGACCAAGGGUUCCUGUCCAACGUUAAUCGGGGCAGGGUGAGUCGACCCCUAAGGCGAGGCCGAAAGGCGUAGUCGAUGGGAAACGGGUUAAUAUUCCCGUACUUGGUGUUACUGCGAAGGGGGGACGGAGAAGGCUAUGUUGGCCGGGCGACGGUUGUCCCGGUUUAAGCGUGUAGGUGUGUGUUCCAGGUAAAUCCGGUUCACUUUAACACUGAGGCGUGACGACGAGGCACUACGGUGCUGAAGCAACAAAUGCCCUGCUUCCAGGAAAAGCCUCUAAGCAUCAGGUAACAUCAAAUCGUACCCCAAACCGACACAGGUGGUCAGGUAGAGAAUACCAAGGCGCUUGAGAGAACUCGGGUGAAGGAACUAGGCAAAAUGGUGCCGUAACUUCGGGAGAAGGCACGCUGACACGUAGGUGAAGUGAUUUACUCAUGGAGCUGAAGUCAGUCGAAGAUACCAGCUGGCUGCAACUGUUUAUUAAAAACACAGCACUGUGCAAACACGAAAGUGGACGUAUACGGUGUGACGCCUGCCCGGUGCCGGAAGGUUAAUUGAUGGGGUCAGCGCAAGCGAAGCUCCUGAUCGAAGCCCCGGUAAACGGCGGCCGUAACUAUAACGGUCCUAAGGUAGCGAAAUUCCUUGUCGGGUAAGUUCCGACCUGCACGAAUGGCGUAAUGAUGGCCAGGCUGUCUCCACCCGAGACUCAGUGAAAUUGAACUCGCUGUGAAGAUGCAGUGUACCCGCGGCAAGACGGAAAGACCCCGUGAACCUUUACUAUAGCUUGACACUGAACAUUGAGCCUUGAUGUGUAGGAUAGGUGGGAGGCUUUGAAGUGUGGACGCCAGUCUGCAUGGAGCCGACCUUGAAAUACCACCCUUUAAUGUUUGAUGUUCUAACGUGGACCCGUUACCCGGGUUGCGGACAGUGUCUGGUGGGUAGUUUGACUGGGGCGGUCUCCUCCUAAAGAGUAACGGAGGAGCACGAAGGUUGGCUAAUCCUGGUCGGACAUCAGGAGGUUAGUGCAAUGGCAUAAGCCAGCUUGACUGCGAGCGUGACGGCGCGAGCAGGUGCGAAAGCAGGUCAUAGUGAUCCGGUGGUUCUGAAUGGAAGGGCCAUCGCUCAACGGAUAAAAGGUACUCCGGGGAUAACAGGCUGAUACCGCCCAAGAGUUCAUAUCGACGGCGGUGUUUGGCACCUCGAUGUCGGCUCAUCACAUCCUGGGGCUGAAGUAGGUCCCAAGGGUAUGGCUGUUCGCCAUUUAAAGUGGUACGCGAGCUGGGUUUAGAACGUCGUGAGACAGUUCGGUCCCUAUCUGCCGUGGGCGCUGGAGAACUGAGGGGGGCUGCUCCUAGUACGAGAGGACCGGAGUGGACGCAUCACUGGUGUUCGGGUUGUCAUGCCAAUGGCACUGCCCGGUAGCUAAAUGCGGAAGAGAUAAGUGCUGAAAGCAUCUAAGCACGAAACUUGCCCCGAG
rnacentral:rRNA from 1 species